rnacentral:rRNA from 1 species
AAAAGCUAACAAGGGCACACGGAGGAUGCCUAGGCAACAGCAGCCGACGAAGGACGUGAUAAGCUGCGAUAAGCCGGGAGGAGAUGCACAUGAUCAGUGAUUCCCGGAUUUCCGAAUGGGUAAACCUGCAUGUCUGGAGGACAUGCGUGAAAACGGUAAGCCCGCGAACUGAAACAUCUAAGUAGCGGGAGGAAAAGAAAGUAAAAACGAUUCCCUGAGUAGCGGCGAGCGAACGGGGAGGAGCCUAAACCGUAUAUGUGUUAAAGCUGGCGGCGUUGCAUAUACGGGGUAGAGGGAACAUACUGGACUGAUGCCAUAAGGUCGAGUUGGUCAUGAUGUAAGCGGAACGCGGCUGGAAAGCCGGACCGUAGGAGGUGAGAGUCCUGUAUAGCGUAAAGUCAUGACGGCUUGUAUGGAAUCCCGAGUAGCAUCGGACACGAGGAAUCCGGUGUGAAUCAGCGUGGACCAUAUCACGUAAGGCUAAAUACUUCCGCCGACCGAUAGAGGAGAGUACCGUGAGGGAAAGGUGAAAAGAACCCUGAGCAAGGGAGUGAAAUAGAAUUUGAAACCGUGUGCUUACAAGCGGUAGGAGCCCUUAGGGGUGACUGCGUGGAUUUUGGUUAAUCAUCCUGCGAGUUAUGAUGUGUGGCGAGGUUAAGUGUAAGCGGAGCCGAAGGGAAACCGAGUCUUAAUAGGGCGACGAGUCGCAUGUCAUAGACGCGAAACCUAGUGAUCUAGGCCUGUCCAGGCUGAAGCUGAGGUAAGACUCAGUGGAGGGCCGAACUCACCGCCGUUGAAAAGUUGGGAGAUGAGAUAGGUCUAGGGGUGAAAAGCCAAUCGAACUAGGAGAUAGCUCGUUCUCUCCGAAAUGCAUUUAGGUGCAGCCUUGAACUGAGAUAUGUGGGGGUAGAGCUCUGUAUGAUCUAGGGGGCGUACUGCUUACCGAAAUCAAGCAAACUUCGAAUACCAUAUAUUAUGUUCAGGAGUGAGUCCGUGGAUGACAAGGUCCUCGGACGAGAGGGGAACAGCCCAGACCGCCAGCUAAGGUCCCUAAUUAUGUCUAAGUGGGAAAGGAGGUGGAUAUUCACAGACAACCAGGAGGUUGGCUUAGAAGCAGCCAUACCUUGAAAGAGUGCGUAAUAGCUCACUGGUCGAGAGUAUCUGCGCCGAAGAUGUAACGGGGCUAAGACAUAAACCGAAGCUGCGGAAGAUACUACGUAUCUUGGUAGGAGAGCGUUCUGUAGGCCGUCGAAGGGAUGCCGCAAGGCCAUCCUGGAGGUAUCAGAAGCGAGAAUGCAGGAAUGAGUAGCGAGAAGGCGGGCGAGAAUCCCGCCGGCCGGAAGUCCAAGGUUUCCAGGGGAAGGCUUGUCCGCCCUGGGGAAGUCGGGACCUAAGCAUAAGCAAAAUUGUGACGGCGAAUGGAAAACAGGUUAAUAUUCCUGUACCGCUGUUAUCGCUUGAGAGACGGAGUGACGCAGGAAGGUAUGUGAGAAGGCUGACGGUUUAGCCUUUCUAAGGGCCCAGCGUGGGCGCGCAGGAAAAUCCGCGCGCCUAGACGUGAGACCUGACGGGGAAGUGCUCAGGCACAAGUCACAGAUCCUACACUGCCAGGAAAAACUUCUAUCGAUGAGAAGCAGCGCCCGUACUGUAAACCGACACAGGUGGACAGAGUGAGAAACUUAAGGCCGACAGGAUAACUCUAGCUAAGGAACUCUGCAAAAUGGCCCCGUAACUUCGGGAGAAGGGGUGCCUGACAUACCUGAAGGGAGAGACGCCCUGAGGGGAAACAGGCCGCAGUGAAGAGUCCCAAGCAACUGUUUACCAAAAACACAGGUCUAUGCUAAGCUGAAAGGCGACGUAUAUGGGCUGACACCUGCCCAGUGCCGGAAGGUUAAGAGGAGGGUUGAGAGAUUCAAAUUGAAGCCCCGGUGAACGGCGGCCGUAACUAUAACGGUCCUAAGGUAGCGAAAUUCCUUGUCGGGU